rnacentral:rRNA from 1 species
UACCCAGACUCCUACGGGAGGCAGCAGUGGGGGAUAUUGCACAAUGGGGGGAACCCUGAUGCAGCGACGCCGCGUGGGUGAAGGAGCGUUUCGGCGCGUAAAGCCCUAUCGGCAGGGAAGAAGGAGGACGGUACCUGACUAAGAAGCCCCGGCUAACUACGUGCCAGCAGCCGCGGUAAUACGUAGGGGGCAAGCGUUAUCCGGAUUUACUGGGUGUAAAGGGAGCGUAGACGGCCAGACAAGUCAGAAGUGAAAGCCCAGGGCUCAACCCUGGGACUGCUUUUGAAACUGCCGGGCUGGAGUGCAGGAGGGGCAGGCGGAAUUCCUGGUGUAGCGGUGAAAUGCGUAGAUAUCAGGAGGAACACCGGUGGCGAAGGCGGCCUGCUGGACUGCAACUGACGUUGAGGCCCGAAAGCGUGGGGAGCAAACAGGAUUAGAUACCCCUGUA